rnacentral:tRNA from 1 species
AGUCAAUGAACUUGAAUAAGUGUAUCCUUUGAAAGUAUAUUAUAGAAGUUUAACCUUCUAUUGGCUU